UAAUACGGAGGGUGCAAGCGUUGUUCGGAAUUAUUGGGCGUAAAGCGCGUGUAGGCGGACAGUUAAGUCCGGUGUGAAAUCCCUCGGCUCAACUGAGGACGUGCACUGGAUACUGGCGGUCUUGAAUCCUGGAGAGGGUAGCGGAAUUCCCAGUGUAGAGGUGAAAUUCGUAGAUAUUGGGAGGAACACCGGUGGCGAAGGCGGCUACCUGGACAGUGAUUGACGCUGAGACGCGAAAGCAUGGGUAGCAAACAGGAUUAGAUACCCUGGUAGUCCAUGCCGUAAACGAUGGGUGCUAGCUGGUGCGGGUAUUGACCCCUGCGCUGGCGAAGCUAACGCGUUAAGCACCCCGCCUGGGGAGUACGGCCGCAAGGCUA
rnacentral:rRNA from 1 species